rnacentral:misc_RNA from 1 species
CACUGCAUAUUUCACAGAAACGAUAGAAGCACACACGAAAAGAGCGACCGAGAGCCCGAGAGAGGGCCGAGCAGCAUCACCACCGGACAGAGCGUCGUGCCACCGGGGCCCUUUCACCCCUUUUGCGCGCCGUGCUCCUCCGCCUCUUCCUGCCCCAUCUCUGCCUUGGCACCCCCCGCCGCAUCUCGCUCCUGCGCUUACUAUUACCUCGCUACUAGCGCAGAGCUGUCAUAGAUUGAACUAGACACACAUGCACAUACAUCCUUGCGCAGCUGCCCCCUCUUCCCCCUUCCAUCGGAUUGUGCGGUGUCAGCACCUCUCAGUGGAGAGCUCGCAUGGGGAUGUCUGUUACCAUGAUUGACGCCAUACCGUUACUCAAGUCUACGCAUGCCAACUGCGUGUGCCCUGUGUGCCUCGACGUUUUCAAGAAACCGGUGUGCUUUCCCUGUGGCCACAUUCUAUGCCGCGCCUGCGCUAGUCGCUGCAUUGCAGCACGCCCGCGGUGCCCGCUGUGCAAUCAAGCGGUGCCCAACCUGCGCCACUGCUCCCCGCUGCCUCAGCUGUCUCUCCUUUGCGUGCUGACACGUGAGGUGGGGCUACGCGCCAGCGGGCGUCAGCUGCGAUCAUCCGUGCAGAACGCGGCAACGCCGUUGUCUCACAGCGAUCACGACUCCUCUAUGAAGCGGCGUCGAGGCGCCACCGGAUACGACGCGGUGGAGGGAGCGCAAGGGGAGAAUCAGGCACCGCGGCCGCGACGGUCGUCACUGUCACCCCCGCCGGAGCAGCACCCCUUCUUGUCAUUGCGUGAGCCUCGGGCAUCACAUCGUGUCGCGAGCGCAGUCGCUGCCACCGAGGGCAGCACCGCCAACCAUGCUCAGCACUCGAGUCUGCCAGGGCUUCUGCGUGCCGCAGCCGGCGAGACGCAGCGGCUGCAAAGUGAGUCACCUUCGCCACCACCGUUGAUGGCGGGAGUGGGCGAUGAUGUGCUCUCGGACGAAGCGCCGCACCGCUCGAUCAUCGCUCAGGCCACCACGUCUUUGCCGUCUGCCGUCGCGCGUCGUGUCGGGGAUAGCGGCGCACUUGGACGAGAUCAGGAUCGACCGCCGACAACCACACCAUCUCCGGCACUGUCGCCCUCGCCAGCGCCCUUCUCCACUCCCCUUCAGCUGAUGCGCAACCACAUCACGGAUCACGCUGAUCAGCUCGAUUCGACGCCGCGGCUGAGCCCGCCACCCUUCAUAGCAUUUGCGGUGGCAGAGGCGGCGAGCGUCACGGCUGCGGCAAGUACCGCACAUCGCAGUGGUGAGGCAUCUGCAAGUGUACUCGCUGCUGAACAUGCAUUGAAUUCCAAGAAAGCAUCUGCGUGGAGCCUGUGGAGACGCGGCCGGGGAGUGAUACACUGCACGCUUACCCCCCCAGCAGCGCGGCUUCUGGCACGACAAGCUGGAGUAGCUGAUGGGGCAGGCCGAGAAAAGACGGAGGCGGUGUCUAAAACGGCCUCAUCGUGGUCUGUCGCCUCUGCUGACACGGCCGCGUCAUUCUGGCACCGCUUCGGCUGCUGCGCCCUCUGCGGCCUUGACGUGGUGCAGCGCACGGCGGUGCGACAGCGUCUGCAACGACUCCUGCGAUCCCCGACAGCGCACUGCGAUCCAGCGGAGUUGGCUAUGCAGACUGAGGAGAGCCUCUCGCUGCUGCUAGGGCCGUUGUGGGGUGUGUGCUGCGAGGUGCAGGAGCAUAGCACCAACAUUACUCAAUCACCGGCGCCGACAUACGAAGGCGAGUAUACGACAACCGAACUCGACGCGGUGCAGGGGAGCUACUGUUGUCCUUGUCGUGGCGAGGUGACAGCGCACCACUUUACAGGCGUGGCUCACCACAAUUGUCUGGCGUGGGCUGGACUUCUAGACGUCUUUACCAACACCUCUCUCGAGGACCUUCCCGCCGCCGCUGCUGCUGGGGUGUACUUCAUUCCCAGUACGACCGCAUUGCUGCACAUGACGGUGCCGCUGCAGGAUCCAUUGGAGGUUCUCACGGCGCGCACAUCAGGUCGCGUGGCUCGCUGGCAGCUGCUGGCCGCGACUUUGUGUCACAUGCAUCAACGGGACGCGGAUGAAGAGAGUGAGCUGUGGCAACGCUUUAAGACAUCUGAUGGAAGCGGCGCAGAGGGACCGCUGAUGACAGUGCGCUGUGCGCUGUGCGAAGACGGUGCACCGCUGCUAGUCCCCAACUCACCUUCUUUUCCUUUUGGGGCGGGCCUGCGCACGUGCGAGGGCACAGAGCGUGGCGAGAGCAGCUGCGGUCAGCAGUACCACUACCCCUGCGCCCUGCUCGCCGGUGCCUCGGCCUGUAUUAUAUUCGGCUUGGAAGAUGAGCACAAUGUGCUGGACGCCAGCGCGAACACACCCGUUCGCGAUCGCAGCGCUGGAGGGAAGCGCGGCGGCCUCGAACUUCCAGUGGAGGUUUGGUGCGGGCCCUGCCACGAGCGGCACGAGGUCCGCCGUCGGCGUGUGUGAGAUGCAGAUACAAGAGGAGGUUGGCAACGUCGGCAACAUUGCCCGCCUCCGUCUGUACCGAAGGCGCGUGCUCACUCAGUUGUGCGCCUCUGUGUGUGCCUCUCGCCCUCCCUCUCGCGCAGCUUGAAGAAGAUGACGUGAGGCUUCUCUUUUUCUUUUCCGUGUUCUCUGCCUCUCUUCUGCCCUCGGGGGUCUUUCAGCUGCUCUCUCACACGGCCGUGCCCCCUCCCCCUCUCCCUGCCCCUGCUACUGCGGGUUUCGCUGUGCACCGGCGCGAGGCCGACGCGGACGAGAGGUGGGAAAGGGGGGGGGGCGAACUGAAAGAAGAGCGGCAGCAACAGGAACGCAGACGUGGGUAUACACAUAGACACAUAGACAUAUUCAGAUACACACACGUAGGCGUACAUAGGUACAUAUAUACGCUCCUGAGAGCACAGGAAACACAAAUGCCGGCUGCUCUCCGUUAUGACAUUCCGACCGAAGCACGUGG